GGCCUAUCAGCUUGUUGGUGGGGUAAUGGCCUACCAAGGCGACGACGGGUAGCCGGCCUGAGAGGGUGACCGGCCACACUGGGACUGAGAUACGGCCCAGACUCCUACGGGAGGCAGCAGUGGGGAAUAUUGCACAAUGGGCGGAAGCCUGAUGCAGCAACGCCGCGUGCGGGAUGACGGCCUUCGGGUUGUAAACCGCUUUCGCCUGUGAUGAAGCGUGAGUGACGGUAAUGGGUAAAGAAGCACCGGCUAACUACGUGCCAGCAGCCGCGGUGAUACGUAGGGUGCGAGCGUUGUCCGGAUUUAUUGGGCGUAAAGGGCUCGUAGGUGGUUGAUCGCGUCGGAAGUGUAAUCUUGGGGCUUAACCCUGAGCGUGCUUUCGAUACGGGUUGACUUGAGGAAGGUAGGGGAGAAUGGAAUUCCUGGUGGAGCGGUGGAAUGCGCAGAUAUCAGGAGGAACACCAGUGGCGAAGGCGGUUCUCUGGGCCUUUCCUGACGCUGAGGAGCGAAAGCGUGGGGAGCGAACAGGCUUAGAUACCCUGGUAGUCCACGCUGUAAACGGUGGGUACUAGGUGUGGGGUCCAUUCCACGGGUUCCGUGCCGUAGCUAACGCUUUAAGUACCCCGCCUGGGGAGUACGG
rnacentral:rRNA from 1 species